rnacentral:rRNA from 1 species
GUUGAAAAAGACUCCGAUGACUUGUGGCUAGGGGUGAAAGGCCAACCAAACUUGGAAAUAGCUGGUUCUCCGCGAAAACUAUUUAGGUAGUGCGUCAGACGAAUACCACCGGGGGUAGAGCACUGGAUGGGUAAUGGGGACCCACAGUCUUACUGAUCCUAACCAAACUCCGAAUACCCGAAAGUACUGCGCGGGAGACACACGGCGGGUGC